CUACGGGAGGCAGCAGUGGGGAAUUUUGCGCAAUGGGCGAAAGCCUGACGCAGCAACGCCGCGUGCGGGAUGAAGGCCUUCGGGUUGUAAACCGCUUUCAGCAGGGACGAAAUUGACGGUACCUGCAGAAGAAGCCCCGGCUAACUACGUGCCAGCAGCCGCGGUAAUACGUAGGGGGCAAGCGUUAUCCGGAUUCAUUGGGCGUAAAGAGCGCGUAGGCGGUUUGUUAAGCGAGAUGUGAAAACAGGGGGCUCAACCCGCUGCCUGCAUCUCGAACUGGCAGACUUGAGUCUGGUAGAGGAAAGUGGAAUUCCUAGUGUAGCGGUGAAAUGCGCAGAUAUUAGGAGGAACACCAGUGGCGAAGGCGGCUUUCUGGGCCACGACUGACGCUGAGGCGCGAAAGCUAGGGGAGCAAACAGGAUUAGAUACCCCUGUAG
rnacentral:rRNA from 1 species